rnacentral:rRNA from 1 species
CCUACGGGUGGCAGCAGUGGGGGAUAUUGCACAAUGGGGGGAACCCUGAUGCAGCGACGCCGCGUGGGUGACGGAGCGUUUCGGCGCGUAACGCCCUAUCGGCAGGGAAGAAGGAGGACGGUACCUGCCUCAGAAGCCCCGGCUAACUACGUGCCAGCAGCCGCGGUAAUACGUAGGGGGAAAGCGUUAUCCGGAUUUACUGGGUGUACAGGGGGCGCAGACGGCCGUGCAAGCCAGGAGUGAAAGCCCGGGGUCCAACCCCGGGACAGCGCUUGGAACUGCGCGGCUGGAGUGCAGGAGGGGCAGGCGGAAUUCCUGGUGUAGCGGUGACAUGCGUAGAUAGCAGGAGGAACACCGGUGGCGAAGGCGGCCUGCUGGACUGCGACGGACGUUGAGGCCCGAAAGCGUGGGGAGCAAACAGGAUUAGAGACCCGAGUAGUC